rnacentral:rRNA from 1 species
AUUGAACGCUGGCGGAAUGCUUUACACGUGCAAGUCGAACGGCAGCACGGACUUCGGUCUGGUGGCGAGUGGCGAACGGGUGAGUAAUGUAUCGGAACGUGCCCAGUCGUGGGGGAUAACGUAGUGAAAAUUACGCUAAUACCGCAUACGAUCUUAGGAUGAAAGCGGGGGAUCGCAAGACCUCGCGCGAUUGGAGCGGCCGAUAUCAGAUUAGUAAGUUGGUGGGGUAAAGGCCCACCAAGCCAACGAUCUGUAGCUGGUCUGAGAGGACGACCAGCCACACUGGAACUGAGACACGGUCCAGACUCCUACGGGAGGCAGCAGUGGGGAAUUUUGGACAAUGGGCGAAAGCCUGAUCCAGCCAUUCCGCGUGCAGGAUGAAAGCCCUCGGGUUGUAAACUGCUUUUGUACAGAACGAAAAGGUUUCUACUAAUACUAGGAGCUCAUGACGGUACUGUAAGAAUAAGCACCGGCUAACUACGUGCCAGCCGCCGCGGUAA